AGUGAACGCUGGCGGUAGGCCUAACACAUGCAAGUCGAACGGCAGCACAGUAAGAGCUUGCUCUUACGGGUGGCGAGUGGCGGACGGGUGAGGAAUACAUCGGAAUCUACUUUUUCGUGGGGGAUAACGUAGGGAAACUUACGCUAAUACCGCAUACGACCUACGGGUGAAAGCAGGGGAUCUUCGGACCUUGCGCGAUUGAAUGAGCCGAUGUCGGAUUAGCUAGUUGGCGGGGUAAAGGCCCACCAAGGCGACGAUCCGUAGCUGGUCUGAGAGGAUGAUCAGCCACCCUGGACCUGAGACACGGUCCAGCCUCCUACGGGAGGCAGCAGUGGGGAAUAUUGGACAAUGGGCGCAAGCCUGAUCCAGCCAUACCGCGUGGGUGAAGAAGGCCUUCGGGUUGUAAAGCCCUUUUGUUGGGAAAGAAAAGCAGCAGGUUAAGACCCCGCUGUUCGGACGGUACCCAAAGAAUAAGCACCGGCGAACUUCGG
rnacentral:rRNA from 1 species